CAAAUCGUACAAGUAAUAUAAAUGGUAAGACCAAGUAUCGUUUUCCUAAGAGACUCGUAUGGCUUCCUCGUUCGUGUGAAUUAAAAUAGUAAGAUUUGAAAAAUAAAAAUUAAUAAAUUGGAUUUAAGAACAAAAAUAUUAACAUGCAAAUAUAAAGUUGAUUCAAUUGACAAACGAAAACAAUGGAUGAAUGGAUGUUGUUGGGGGUUACAAUUUCAUCUAUUCCACUCUCUCUUACACACUACCCUUGAAUAUUAGUUUGAUUGAUUCAAUUGUUAUGCGACUUUCUUAGCCUCCCCUUAACUCGAUCCCUCGGUGAAAAGGGCCUAAUAUUAACUACUGCCUUGCUAUCCCUAGCCUCCCCUAGUAAUUAAUACCGCAUUAUAAACAAAAGUUAGCGCAAUUGAUCGUCCUACCCCUAUCCCUAGGUGGUAUUGCAAAAUCAAGAGAUUACUCACCAGUUCAUGUCAUUACUGUACGUCCCCAUAUCAAUAAAGACAAACAUCAAUAUACCGAAUGAGUUAAACGAUAAAGGCCUUAAGCACAGAUGAUAACCCAACAAUAAUCAAUCAACACAUAUGGAGACCAUAUAAAUAAUCAAGAGAUUCAAUAAGAGAGAGUAUCAAAAGAUUACAUUGUUUCCCCCAACAACAAUAGGGUUUAGUUCACCAUAGACAUGGUGAAACUAGAUGAAGAAUGGAAGAAGAAUGGAAAAGCAAACCCUAGAAAAGAUGAAAAGGAGCCUAAGCAUCCAAGAGAUCCUCUCCAGAGAGCAAAAUUAGGUCUGGCCGUUCUCCCCGCUCAAAAGAAUGAUUCUGAAUUCGCAAUAGGGGUAUAUAUAGGUGAGGAGCGCAUCAGAAACGGGCCCAAGUCCAACGAGCCACCGCCGAGCGGUUUAAGUGUGGCGCCCGGCGGCAAUCGCCACCGUCGGGCGGUUUCCCUCAGGUCCGCCCAGCAUCAAUAGCCAUGCCUUCUCCUCGUCCUGGACCGCCCGACGGUUUAAGUGUGCCGCCGGGUGGUGCGUCGACUCUUCAAAUCUUCAUUUUUUUGCUCUUUUCUUGAGACAACGACUUGUAUCUUCAACUCCAUUCUCUACUUUUCUCAAAUUAGCUACAAAACAAUGCAAAACAAGCAUAAAAUCGCUAAAAACAACUUUUGACUCUCUCCAGACUCAUUUAUUGAGUUUUGCUUGAUUCUAAGCUCAUUCCGAGUAGUAAAGGGUGUAAUUUGGUCCAAAUUGACAUAUGAAAAUAACUGUUUUUCAACCUUCAUCAGGCACGUGUCAACUCAACUCAUCCAUUUGUCAAGGUUGGCUCAACUCGACCUUAUACCUAUUCUAUCUCGACUAGACCUUUGGCUUGAACCAUUUAACUUGACCAUCGACUUGAACAUACUCAUGUAGACCUUUAAACGGGGCCUAUUUGCAUGACCUUUGGCAUACACUAACUCGACAAAACCUUUAGCUAGGACUGACUCAACUCGACCUUCGACUCAGGCUAACUCCACUCGAUCUUUGACCUUAAGCUGGUUUUGCUCGAUCUUCGGCCU
rnacentral:lncRNA from 1 species